rnacentral:rRNA from 1 species
AUGGAUGCGGCGGCCUCAGCCGCUGUCGCGGCAGCCAAGGAGGCGGCUCUGGCCGCAUCUGCCGCGGCAUCUGCGGCUGCCAAGCAGGCGGCAGUGGCAGCUUCGACUGCGGUGGAGGCGGCGGCUGCCAAGGAGGCGGCGCUGGUCGCGUCUGCUGCCGCAUCGGCUGCCGCGAAGGAGGCAGCGGCGGCGGCUGCGACCGCGACGGAGGCGGCCGUGAAGGCUUCGGCUGCGUCCUUAAAUGCGAAGGAGGCAGCGGAUGCGGCGGCGGCCACAGGGGAGGCCGCGACGGUGGCGAUUCAGGCUUCCAAGAAGCGGAAGUUCCAUCUUAUCGACGGCGACGACGAUGAUCUCAUCAGCCGCCUCCCCGACGCCGUCCUCGGCAGCAUCGUGUCUCUUCUCCCCACCAAGGAAGGUGCCCGCACGCAGGUCCUCUCCCGCCGGUGGCGUCCGCUCUGGCUCUCCGGCUCCGCUCCUCUGAACCUCGUGGUGGACUCUGAACUCAAGACCAUCGGCUUGGUUUCAAAGAUCCUCUCCGAGCAUCCUGGACCCGCGCGCUGCUUCUCGCUCCGCCUCCACAUCGACGACUGCUACGACAGGAUCGAAGGCUGGCUCAGUUCCCAGGCGCUGUACAGCCUGGAGGAGCUCGAGCUCGCCCCCAAUCUCUUGUUCGCCAAGACGGAGAAGUUGUGCCUGCUGCCAUCGUCCGUGCACCGCUUCUCGUCCACGCUCCGCGUGGCCAAAUUCCACGGCUUCCAUUUCCCCGACUUGAUUGUGCAGCUGUCCCUCAAGUUUCCGGGCCUCGAGCAGCUGACCCUGGCUAGCGUCACCAUCUCAGAGGACGCCCUCCAGACUCCAGAGCAUGCUCUCUGGCUGCCCUGCCUUGGAAAGCCUCGAGCUGAAGGAAAAUUCGGGCAUUGCUCGCCUCUGCAUCAGCUCCCAGACCAUUAG